CUUGAACCAGCAGUUUCAAACUAUUCCAACUCAUAUUCAAUUAGAGGGCUUUAUAUUUACGAAAAGAUAGACAACCUGGUAAUCCUGCCCAGGCUAAAAUUUCAAUAAUCAAAGGCUUCGGGCAUCAGAAUUCUGAAGAAACAACAAAGAAGUUAAUAUAUUGAUCCAAUGAGAAAUUCGACCUGCCCCACGUAAUGAAAAAACUUCAGCGUACGAUUGCAGUACGGUGGAAGGGAAUAUUUCCAUUUCCAUAGUUAUUGGUAACGUAUAGUUUCUGGAAAUGUAAAUCAAGGCCUCCCACAAGAAUUCCUCGAUUGAUGGGAAGAAAAAUUGAAGAAACAAGUGCAGAAUGAAAAUCUUUGUGUUGAUGGACACAAAUGGUGAUAGAAAUGGUGUGGGCAAGCAACUUCCAUAUCUUUUGAAAUCCAGCAAUAACGAUGAAGAGAAAAUGGUGACAUGGUUGUAUCCUAGGGUUUCAGUAAAACAUGGGAGCUAUUAGAGUUUACCAAACAAGAUUGCAGCACUUCUGAACAGCUUACAACGGGUGAAUGUUAUCGUCAUUUGCUCUUUAGUGCGGAGGAUACUAUGCAUGGCAGGUAUCCUUCAAUUUCAAUAAAGGUAAGUCAUCGGUAAUGUUGUUGUUUGUUCCAUCAGUAGAAUGGUGUAGACACCUGCUCUCAACAAGUUUGUACCAUUAGUCGUCAUCGAGUAGCUUAGUAAAUAAGUGAAAAUGCAACCUUUAGAGCAGACAUAAGAUGCACGUUUGGGAUCAAACAAGGAAUAAUAAUAUUCACCAACAUAAGAUGCACGUUUGUCACAAACCUCAAACCAUACACCAUCUGAGUGGACCAUCCAUGAUGUUCUCAGUUGGCAUGGUCCAUCGGGCUAGUCGACCAUGUGUGGUAUAGAUGUAUUCAUGUAAACACCAGUCAACGGGCAUUGGCCUUUGCUUUAUUCAGAUUGGCUAUGAUAAUGAUAAGAAUAGAAAUGGAACAAAGCGAGUUACUACCAUAUGGUAGCAAGACUUCCUUGAAACGGAUUCUUGGAAGAGCCAGACAGAACAGCAAAGAAACCACCAAAUUGUGCCCUAAACUAUGAUGAAAUUUGUAGUUCACCAAUGUUCCUAUAAUCUUUAAAUUGUGAGUACAUGCAACCAAAACCAAUUGGUGAUAAGUGGAGAGGCCCAAGAUAUGUAUUUUCAAAACAAAUAAAAUACAAUUAAAAAUAAUAAUAAAAUAUGCAUGCUUCAGACUCCUGAUGUAUGAUUUUACAUUUGCUAACAUUUUCUAGUGCUCCUAUAAAUGCUCAUCUAGUUAGUUCUUAUUUCAUGCAUGACAACAUUUAUUGAAUUUAUACCAAAUAG
rnacentral:lncRNA from 1 species